AAAAUCUCCUGUAUUAGACCCUCAUGAAGCUGCAAGCAGGGAUGAGUCUCAAUCUACGCUCCCCUCUGACUAGGAUCUCUUAGAUUAGAUCUCAAAUUGCAAGCAGGGGUGAGUCUCAGACCCAUCAGCUUCCUGAGGAGCCUCACCUCAUUAUGGAUUUCCUCUCCUUGUUUCAAAACUGCAGGAUCAAAGGAUUUCAACGAGACGUCGCCAUCGUCUGAGUCAUUGAGGACAUUCUGCAGCGCCAACUGACAGCGUUCUAAGAUAUAAUCCAAGGUGCCUGUUGAGCACUGUCAAGAGAGAAUCACAGGAGGCAGCUGUAGUUCUUCCUCAAUAAUGAAGAGUAUGAGGGCUGUGGAAAUGUGACAGAAAUCAAAUGGAGCCUAUUGAAGGAGCCUAUGUUGGAAAAGCCAAAGAUAUAGAUUGGAAUACAUUAUCUGAUCUGGAGAUGCUUCAUGUGCACUGUGCACCUGCUGCUGGACAGGCUCUUCCAGACUCGUCGCUGAGAUCUGCUGGGCUGACAUGGCUGUCCACGCCUGUUGUUCCUUUAUUGAUUUUCUGUCUCAAUGAUCUAUUAUUGAAAAUAGAGAGCCGAGCUCUCCUACUAUUGUAUAUAUAUUGCUAAAUAUUUCUUCCCUCAGUUCUAAUAUCUGCUUCAUGUACAUAGGUAGGCUAGGGAGUGUAUAUUUACAACUACUCCAUGGAUAAAGGCUUACCAACUUCCUGUUAUUAUACAUGACCUGUGCACCUCAUGAGUUUGCGACAUAAACUCUCAUUUGUCUGACCUAACCUUUGGUUGCUACUUUGCGUGGUACUUCUUUUGCUACCCAUUCAUUUUCAGAGGGGUAUCUGGCUAAGAUCCAUGUCUGGUAGGCAGCACCGACAGCGGUCUUUCCUUAGCUCCAGUUUGACUUUCUGCUGCCUCAAUUAUCCGCAACUGACUCAACUCAACACCCACCACCUAGAUCAUCAUGACUGAGUAGCCAGGAUCAUCUGAAGUGCACAAUCCUUAUGACAUAUAUCCAAGGCCAUCAGCACCUGCCACAGCAACACAACAGCCAUGUUUCACUUCGCUCCAUCUCAUCACGGAGGUACCAGGUCACACCUCGGCACGAGAAGAGGAGUACACCCUGAGGUCCUUGGAAGAAAUCCACAUACACAGAACUUUAUUAUGGUAAAUUAUAGUUCUGUAAGUUCAGGCUAUUAGUCAGAACUUUUAUUACAGCAUAAUUAUAGUUAUUCUAUUAUAGCUAUUACUAUUAAUUUCCUAUACCUACCUUAUAAAUUGAACUAUCAUAAACUCACAUGUAUAAAAGAAAAUCAGGUUUAGCACCCCAGUGGUUUCAGGGCAUCCACUGGUCUCUUGGGCUGUGUGGCUAAGGCAGAGCUGCUGGAGUGGGGUUUUGUUCUGGGGAAUCCAUACAGCAACUCUAUAACUGGACAUGAUUACAGAACUGAAUCCAUUGACUUACUGCCAUCUUUCAUUGCGUUAUGUUGGCCCUUUUGCUUUCCUCCUCUUGUUCUGGCCUCUACGACACAGUCACUCGCCGACAGUGAUGCGCUUUGACUCCUCUGUCCCUACCCUUUGUGUAUCCACUACAUGGUUCCUGCUUACUCUGGGGCCUGUGUAAUUUACAGCAUCCACAGUCCAGUCUAGUUAAGUUAAUAACACACCACAAGGACACCAGGCCUCAGUUUCUCCACUCACAAUCUGUGCCUCUCAGAGCCUCCAUAGUGGAUGUCCAUUAUUAUAGCCAGCAAUACUGGUUUUUAAUACGUUGUCUCUGAAUUUUUAUGAGAAUUAUUAAUUUAUACAAGAUAAUACUUUGUCUCUGAAAUUACUGAAGAAAUUUAAGUUACUUAUUUAUGUAACACAAUUUCUUUAUUAGAGAUUUUUGAGUUGUAGUUUUUUGAAUGCCUAUAUCUUGUAUUUGUCUAGGAAAGAAUUCUCCUUACCAUUCUUUCUGAAAGACAGUCUUAUCAUGUGUAGUACUAUUUAUUGCCAGAUUUUCUCUGCAAAACUUUAAAUAUAUCAUUCUUCAAGGUUUUUUUUUUUCUUUUCUUUUCUAAGACACCACUAAUUUCUAAGUGGGCUGGCCUGCAGCUUGGGUCAAUAGACAGUUCAGCCAGUCCCUGGCUCCUCAGAGGCAAGCCUAGACCAUGGAUGGAUCCAUAAAUGGGUGUCUGACUUCAGUAUAAGGGAACUAGCCGGAAGCUGACACAGUAGGAGUAGGCCAGAAGGCCUGGCUCACACACACCACACUAGCUCUAAGAGAGUCUGUGGAAGUCGUCUUAGGCCGUGAGUCCACCUGCCUAGAUAUGGCACCAUUUUUAUGGAAUCCAAAUGGUGCAAAGAAGCCAACACUGGAUCUGACCCAGAGUCUAAGUUCACCGAGACAAACCAAAAUCCUGGGUCUCUGCAGGUCACACAGAAGCCUGGGCCAAUCUACCGUGGGCCUGACACUGGGCAGACUUGGCACUUCAGGUCAGAGUUGCUUGGGGUGGGUCUGCUGCCAUGUCUGCAGCAAGCCUGAUGCUCACUUCACUCUGCAGUCUGCGCUUGCUCGCCUGCCCUCUUGGUUCUGAAUGCCUCAGCAUGAGGGAGAGGUGACAGAGAAACCAAAGAGCCCUCCCUGCUCUCCUCCUUGUGCCUUUUUUCUGUGCUGUACUUCGAUGCUGGAAUCUAAGAUUACCUCGUCACUAUGAAGACAGUCUUCGUACACAGAUAAUUGUGCAAAUGACGUUCCAAUGACAGGCUUGGUGCCGAAAACCCCUGUUUCACCAUGUUGCUUGGGUGUAAAAGAUUAAUUUUAUACUCAUUUUUAAAAAUAUGUUUUCAAAGAAUAUUCAGUAAGAGAAAUACUGAGGAUAUGACAGCACUGAGAACUAAAUGAAAUGCAAAUUUUGGAGUGAUAUAUAUUUUAAGCCC
rnacentral:lncRNA from 1 species